rnacentral:rRNA from 1 species
CCUACGGGAGGCAGCAGUGGGGAAUAUUGGACAAUGGGGGGAACUCUGACCCAGCGACGCCGCGUGAGUGAAGAAGUUCUUCGGAAUGUAAAGUUCUUUUCUCAGGGAAGAAAGAAAUGACGGUACCUUAGUAAGAAGCCUCGGCUAACUACGUGCCAGCAGCCGCGGUAAUACGUAGGGGGCGAGCGUUAUCCGGAAUGACUGGGCGUAAAGGGGGCGUAGGCGGUGUUGCAAGUCAGUAGUGAAACGCCAGGGCCCAACCUCCGGACUGCUUUUGAAACUGUUGGACUUGAGUGCAGGAGGGGUAAGUGGAAUUCCUAGUGUAGCGGUGGAAUGCGUAGAUAUUAGGAGGAACACCAGUGGCGAAGGCGGGUUGCUGGACUGUAACUGACGUUGAGGCACGAAAGCGUGGGGAGCAAACAGGAUUAGAUACCCGAGUAGUC